GACGAACGCUGGCGGCGUGCUUAACACAUGCAAGUCGAACGGAAAGGCCCUGCUUUUGUGGGGUGCUCGAGUGGCGAACGGGUGAGUAACACGUGAGUAACCUGCCCUUGACUUUGGGAUAACUUCAGGAAACUGGGGCUAAUACCGGAUAGGAGCUCCUGCUGCAUGGUGGGGGUUGGAAAGUUUCGGCGGUUGGGGAUGGACUCGCGGCUUAUCAGCUUGUUGGUGGGGUAGUGGCUUACCAAGGCUUUGACGGGUAGCCGGCCUGAGAGGGUGACCGGGCACAUUGGGACUGAGAUACGGCCCAGACUCCUACGGGAGGCAGCAGUGGGGAAUAUUGCCCAAUGGGCGGAAGCCUGAUGCAGCAACGCCGCGUGCGGGAUGACGGCCUUCGGGUUGUAAACCGCUUUCGCCUGUGACGAAGCGUGAGUGACGGUAAUGGGUAAAGAAGCACCGGCUAACUACGUG
rnacentral:rRNA from 1 species